rnacentral:lncRNA from 1 species
UAAAAUUUUGGCCCCCUAAAUUUUCGUAAAACUCGCGCUAGAACCCCUAUUUUUAUAUAAUUUCUGUUUGUCUUAAUUAAUAGACUAGUAUAUUAUUGUUUUAUGAAAUAUAAGUUUCUAUACCUAAUUAAAAACACAUUACAGAAUUGAAAGGGACUUCACCCUUAGCCAUCCCUCUCAAAAGGAACUUCACCUCAGAACCUCCAUCAACCUCCGACUCUGCCAUCGUCCCGCCGUCAACCUCCGCAGUAGAACCUCCAACUCUAUAACAGCUACGGUCGUCAAAAACCACCUCCUUCUACAGCAGCCAACAACAACCACCAUCCCACCGUCAACAAAAUCAUUCCAGCUCUUCGACUAGUUCUGAGAUUUGAUUUUCUUUUUUCUUCACCCAUAAACUUUAUCUCCACCACUAGAAACAACCACCUCUUUCUAUUAAUCCAAGCUCCGCAUUUUCAAAUAGUCCCAAAAUUCUAGGAUUUUUUCUCUACUAAGCUCGACUACCACUUCUUGUUCUCACAGAGCCCUAAUUCUAGGUUUUUGCUUGACUCUCGCGAAUUUUCUGAUUUACAUUCUUCUUUUAUUUUUUUGCAAUUUCUCAAUAGUUGAUCCAUAAUUUGCAAAUUUCAUUAGUGAGGAAGAAAUUACAACUGGUAGUUGUAGGAUAAAUCGCAGUAAGUUUUUUUAAACUCUCUUUAUUUAAAUUUUAGAUAACCACAUUCGAUAGUUGUGUUUUUGAAUGAAGAUUUUAGUAUUAAUGUUCGUUAUUAUCCGAUUCAACUUAUUUUUAUUUUUGGGAGUAUUUGAGCGACAUAAUGUGAUUGAAUGGAGAUUAAACACACUGGUGCAUGUCUUCUUAUUAUGAUUGAAAUUGUGGAUUUCAUUGAAAUUAUGCUUUGCAUUGGUACAAUUGAUAGGUUUUGAUUCUAUAUUUUGUUAGAUAUUUCACUGUUUGAUGCAGUUGUCUUUAUUUAAAAAAAUUUCUUGUUCAACUUAUUAAACUCACAGCUUUAAAGCUGUGAGUUUUUUCUUCUGAAGCUAUUAAUAUAAGUUAGAGUUCAAUUAGGAUUUUGUCAUACAAUAAUUCCUCCCUUUUUGUUCUUGAUAUUAUGAGGAAAACAGGAAAUUUCAUCAAUAUUUAUGUUCAUAUCCUUAAAAUUCAUUUCAGAAAUAAUACACAAAUCAUAUUUUUUGUAUUGUGCAGAGAACUGCUUUGGCAGACUUGCGAGUCCCGUAACUCAGCUAUAUUUUCUGUAUAACCUUAGCUUUUGGUGGUUUAUUGGAGCUUGAACAUCCAAGUUUGUGCAGGUACAAUUUGUUUUGCUAUGUGAAAAUAACUUAAUUUUCGAUAGUAUGAAAAUGGCUAGUGAUAUUUUAUUUGUGGCCAAUUUCUAAUUAGAUAUUCCUCUGGGAAUCUUCUUUUUGUGUCUAUAGAGGUAUGUUCUUUAUUAUUUCCUUGGUAUUUAACAAUCUUUGAUAUUUUGUGGAGCUUCUGUUUGUGUUCUUUAUUUUAUCCUUGUUGAUUUUUCAAUUAGGUCCAGUCCAAUCGAAUGGAGUUAUUUGUUGUUUCAUUGGUAUUUAACAAUCCUUGUUGUUUGUGUCUAUAGAAGUAGUUAUUUGUGUUUAAAAAUUUCCAUAUGGAAAUCAAAUUGUAGCAGAAUUGUCGCACGAAACUGCUAUUCAUAAGAGACAAAAAGUACAUGUAAAUAUAAAUAGAAAAUCAAUUGCAUCAGACAUAUAUGGAUUCCACCAUAUUAAUAGACCUAAAAUAAUAUUUACAAACUUAUUUUCAGUAUGCAUUUUCUCAUAAAACUCCAGUACCUUAUUACUUGUUUUUUCACAAUGAAUUGCGUCUUCCUGGUAGGGACAAUUCCACUCAGUUCCUAGAUGCAUUUUCAAAUUGCAAGUCAGAUUCCACUAAGUUUUAUCCUCAAGGCCUCAAAGUCAGAAUUUCUUCUCCUCCUUCCUUGUGUUGUCGCCUCUACCACUUCUAUCUUUCUCCCAAAGUCAGAAUAGUCUAGUAAUUUUUACACUUUGCCUAUAUUCAAUUUUAAGAGAACUAGACUUGUUACUUAUUCAUAAUUCAGACAAAAUAUUUAUCCUGAGUAAUGCUAUAAAGACUCAACUUUUCUUGUUUACAUGAACUUAAUUUCCUUCUCUUUUCCCCCCUAACCUGCUUUUAUUGAAGUCUCAAUAAACAAAUCUCAUAGCUCACAUAGGCCAAAUAGCUGAGCACAAGAACAGCUAGGAAAAGAGAGGCAAAAUUCUGAAAAUGAUUGAAGUUCCAUUUACACUUAUACUGCUAUUGUUAUACAAGUAAAGAAAAUCCUCAAUAACCUUCUCAACAUAUACAGCUGUGUAUAUCCACAACAUACUAAUUGAUACUAAAUAUUUAUAGUGAUAUCACCAAAUUCAACAUGAUUCACAAAUCAGAAGUAUGGGGACAACAUCAAAAACUCUUAAAUUAUUAAUUCUCUAAUCUCCAAGAACUAUUGACACGAUAUCUUAGACCGAAUUCUCUUGAAGAGUAAUGACUUUAUUUAUCUUAUUUUGCAGGUGGAGUGGAUCACGAAAUGGAAGAUGAUGGCAAUGAAGAACUAGACCUUACUUGAGAUGAAUUUUGAAUUGCUAUGAUGAAAGUUCUAGGAAUCUUUUGUUAUCAACAUUUUGAAACUUACUCUCUAGAAAUGUAUUAAACUUAUGCACUUGGGGUAACGUUUGCUUUAUGAAUAUUAUUAGCUUGAUGGAUUAUUUAUAUGAUUAAUAGUUUUAUUUUGUGAUUUAUUUAAAUUCUAGUGUUAUUAUAAUUUAUUAAAUGUAUAAAUAUUUAUUUAUAACAAGGGCUACAGUUUUGUUUUAA